UUAAAUUGAAGAGUUUGAUCAUGGCUCAGAUUGAACGCUGGCGGCAGGCCUAACACAUGCAAGUCGAACGGUAACAGGAAGCAGCUUGCUGCUUCGCUGACGAGUGGCGGACGGGUGAGUAAUGUCUGGGAAACUGCCUGAUGGAGGGGGAUAACUACUGGAAACGGUGGCUAAUACCGCAUAACGUCGCAAGACCAAAGAGGGGGACCUUCGGGCCUCUUGCCAUCAGAUGUGCCCAGAUGGGAUUAGCUAGUUGGUGAGGUAACGGCUCACCAAGGCGACGAUCCCUAGCUGGUCUGAGAGGAUGACCAGCCACACUGGAACUGAGACACGGUCCAGACUCCUACGGGAGGCAGCAGUGGGGAAUAUUGCACAAUGGGCGCAAGCCUGAUGCAGCCAUGCCGCGUGUAUGAAGAAGGCCUUCGGGUUGUAAAGUACUUUCAGCGGGGAGGAAGGUGUUGUGGUUAAUAACCGCAGCAAUUGACGUUACCCGCAGAAGAAGCACCGGCUAACUCCGUGCCAGCAGCCGCGGUAAUACGGAGGGUGCAAGCGUUAAUCGGAAUUACUGGGCGUAAAGCGCACGCAGGCGGUCUGUCAAGUCGGAUGUGAAAUCCCCGGGCUCAACCUGGGAACUGCAUUCGAAACUGGCAGGCUUGAGUCUUGUAGAGGGGGGUAGAAUUCCAGGUGUAGCGGUGAAAUGCGUAGAGAUCUGGAGGAAUACCGGUGGCGAAGGCGGCCCCCUGGACAAAGACUGACGCUCAGGUGCGAAAGCGUGGGGAGCAAACAGGAUUAGAUACCCUGGUAGUCCACGCCGUAAACGAUGUCUACUUGGAGGUUGUGCCCUUGAGGCGUGGCUUCCGGAGCUAACGCGUUAAGUAGACCGCCUGGGGAGUACGGCCGCAAGGUUAAAACUCAAAUGAAUUGACGGGGGCCCGCACAAGCGGUGGAGCAUGUGGUUUAAUUCGAUGCAACGCGAAGAACCUUACCUGGUCUUGACAUCCACAGAAGUUUCCAGAGAUGGAUUUGUGCCUUCGGGAACUGUGAGACAGGUGCUGCAUGGCUGUCGUCAGCUCGUGUUGUGAAAUGUUGGGUUAAGUCCCGCAACGAGCGCAACCCUUAUCCUUUGUUGCCAGCGGUCCGGCCGGGAACUCAAAGGAGACUGCCAGUGAUAAACUGGAGGAAGGUGGGGAUGACGUCAAGUCAUCAUGGCCCUUACGACCAGGGCUACACACGUGCUACAAUGGCGCAUACAAAGAGAAGCGACCUCGCGAGAGCAAGCGGACCUCAUAAAGUGCGUCGUAGUCCGGAUUGGAGUCUGCAACUCGACUCCAUGAAGUCGGAAUCGCUAGUAAUCGUGGAUCAGAAUGCCACGGUGAAUACGUUCCCGGGCCUUGUACACACCGCCCGUCACACCAUGGGAGUGGGUUGCAAAAGAAGUAGGUAGCUUAACCUUCGGGAGGGCGCUUACCACUUUGUGAUUCAUGACUGGGGUGAAGUCGUAACAAGGUAACCGUAGGGGAACCUGCGGUUGGAUCACCUCCUUACCUGAAAGAA
rnacentral:rRNA from 1 species